CGAGCGAGAGAGAGCUUGCUUUCUCGAGCGAGUGGCGAACGGGUGAGUAACGCGUGAGGAACCUGCCUCAAAGAGGGGGACAACAGUUGGAAACGACUGCUAAUACCGCAUAAGCCCACGACCCGGCAUCGGGUAGAGGGAAAAGGAGCAAUCCGCUUUGAGAUGGCCUCGCGUCCGAUUAGCUAGUUGGUGAGGUAACGGCCUACCAAGGCGACGAUCGGUAGCCGGACUGAGAGGUUGAACGGCCACAUUGGGACUGAGACACGGCCCAGACUCCUACGGGAGGCAGCAGUGGGGAAUAUUGCACAAUGGGGGAAACCCUGAUGCAGCGACGCCGCGUGGAGGAAGAAGGUCUUCGGAUUGUAAACUCCUGUUGUUGAGGAAGAUAAUGACGGUACUCAACAAGGAAGUGACGGCUAACUACGUGCCAGCAGCCGCGGUAAAACGUAGGUCACAAGCGUUGUCCGGAAUUACUGGGUGUAAAGGGAGCGCAGGCGGGAAGACAAGUUGGAAGUGAAAUCCAUGGGCUCAACCCAUGAACUGCUUUCAAAACUGUUUUUCUUGAGUAGUGCAGAGGUAGGCGGAAUUCCCGGUGUUGCGGUGGAAUGCGUAGAUAUCGGGAGGAACACCAGUGGCGAAGGCGGCCUACUGGGCACCAACUGACGCUGAGGCUCGAAAGUGUGGGUAGCAAACAG
rnacentral:rRNA from 1 species